rnacentral:rRNA from 1 species
CCUACGGGUGGCAGCAGUGGGGAAUAUUGCGCAAUGGGCGAAAGCCUGACGCAGCGACGCCGCGUGAGGGAUGAAGGUCUUCGGAUCGUAAACCUCUGUCAGCAGGGAAGUACGGUCACUGUGCUAAUCAGCAGUGAAUUGACGGUACCUGCAAAGGAAGCACCGGCUAACUCCGUGCCAGCAGCCGCGGUAAUACGGAGGGUGCGAGCGUUAAUCGGAUUUACUGGGCGUAAAGCGCUCGUAGGUGGUAUGUCAAGUCAAGGGUGAAAUCCCCGGGCUCAACGGGGGAACUGCCUUUGAUACUGGCAAACUGGAGUGUGUGAGAGGAUGGUGGAAUUCGAGGUGUAGGAGUGAAAUGCGUAGAUAUCUGGAGGAACAUCAGUGGCGAAGGCGGCUAUCUGGCACAUAACUGACGCUGAGGAGCGAAAGCGUGGGUAGCAAACAGGAUUAGAUACCCUUGUAGUC